rfam:Stegodyphus mimosarum contig2356, whole genome shotgun sequence.
GAAAAGGCCCUUUUCAGGGCCAGAAAAUGAAUAAGAUUGAUUUUCU